rnacentral:rRNA from 1 species
GAAGCUGGAAUCGCUAGUAAUCGCGGAUCAGAAUGCCGCGGUGAAUACGUUCCCGGGUCUUGUACACACCGCCCGUCACACCAUGGGAGCCGGAAACGCCCGAAGCCAGUGGCCUGACCGUAAGGAGGGAGCUGUCGAAGGCGGGUCCGGUGACCGGGGUGAAGUCGUAACAAGGUACC